UACGGAGGGUGCAAGCGUUAUCCGGAUUCACUGGGUUUAAAGGGUGCGUAGGAGGGCAGGUAAGUCAGUGGUGAAAUCUCCAAGCUUAACUUGGAGACUGCCGUUGAUACUAUCUGUCUUGAAUACCGUGGAGGUGAGCGGAAUAUGUCAUGUAGCGGUGAAAUGCUUAGAUAUGACAUAGAACACCAAUUGCGAAGGCAGCUCGCUACACGAAUAUUGACUCUGAGGCACGAAAGCGUGGGGAUCAAACAGG
rnacentral:rRNA from 1 species